rnacentral:tRNA from 1 species
GCCCCCGUAGCUCAUUCGGAUUAGAGCAUCUGCCUUCUAAGCAGAGGGUAACAGGUUCGAAUCCUGUCGGGGGUGCCA